GGAGAGCGAUGCUUCUCGCUCUACUGUCUCGGCCCCCGGUCUGGUGCGGGACACGUUAGCCCAAAUGACCUGCCUGGGGCACUGCAGCACGUUUGGCCACUCUGGUCAUGGGGCAGGCGCCAGUACGGUGCGAAACCCGAGCCACUCUCCCGCCCUCUCGCCUUGUAGGGCUGCGAGACAGCACCUGCUAGCCCCACUCCCUCUCCCCGGAUCAUCCUGCCGAGAGUGGGCUGCAGGCUGCUGGCCAAGUAACUGCGGGGGCAAGGCUUUGGGUAAGGGGUAAAAAAAAAUAAAAAAUAAAAAGUUUGGCGACUGCCUAUGUGAAUGCAUCAGCGUUGGAAGAAAGCCAGCGCCGGAUGCCCGACUUGGCCUCUGAGGGAUCAUAUCCAACCCCUAGCAGGGAUCUGUCCCUGUCGGCUAGCUCACAGAGUCCCAGAAUUGGGACUGGCGGCGAUGUCUCUCUUAGAGGAGAGCAUUGAGGCGCGGAUAGGGUUAACCUCGCGACGCCCGGGCAGGGGGAGGAGGGGGCGGGGCCGAAGGAGGGGAUCCCCGGCGUCCGGGGAGGAGCCCGCUCGGGUUUCCCGGGUCCCCCUGGCGGGGGCGGAGGGCUUUCCCCACUAGCGCCAGCUCACAUUUGCUCGUUCUCCGGAACAUGAGGGGCUAGCGCCCCUGGCCGCCGGGUCCGGGGCUCGGGCGCUCAGGCAGUCCAGCAGCCUGAGUGGACCUGCAGCACAGACACAAAGCAAAGGCGGGUCACUAAUGCGCAGACGCCAAGCAUCUUCCUUGUCGUGACCAGACUGCAGCGGCUGGGCGAGGGGGCUGGUGAAGGUUGAUUGAUGCUGGUAGCCAUCUAACUGCCAAUUAAUGCCCUGGUGGUGAUUCGACUGAAUAAUCGCUGCCCUUGGACAUGGAGUUUCACUAGACUUAGAUAUAAUGAAUAAUUAUACUCUCUAAUAAACCAGUAAAGUUGCACUUUGAAUUUUG